AUCCUUUUGUAGUUCAUAAGCGUGAUGAUUGGGUUCUCAUGUGCAUGCGUGCGAUGUGCCUCCCACGAAUCUUGUUAUGACGUUGGU
rnacentral:snoRNA from 1 species